UACAGAGGGUGCGAGCGUUAAUCGGAAUUACUGGGCGUAAAGCGCGCGUAGGCGGCUUUGCAAGUCGGGUGUGAAAUCCCCAGGCUUAACCUGGGAACUGCAUUCGAGACUGCAUUGCUAGAGUAUGGGAGAGGGAAGUGGAAUUUCCGGUGUAGCGGUGAAAUGCGUAGAUAUCGGAAGGAACAUCAGUGGCGAAAGCGACUUCCUGGACCAGUACCGACGUUCAGGCACGAAAGCGUGGGGAGCAAACAGGAUUAGAAACCCCCGUAGUCC
rnacentral:rRNA from 1 species